AUACGGAGGGUGCGAGCGUUAAUCGGAAUUACUGGGCGUAAAGGGUGCGUAGGCGGCUUGAUAAGUCGGAUGUGAAAGCCCCGGGCUUAACCUGGGAAUUGCAUUCGAUACUGUCAGGCUAGAGUAUGUCAGAGGUUGGCGGAAUUCCUGGUGUAGCGGUGAAAUGCGUAGAUAUCAGGAGGAACACCAGUGGCGAAGGCGGCUAACUGGGGCAAUACUGACGCUGAGGCACGAAAGCGUGGGGAGCAAACAGGAUUAGAUACCCCAGUAGUCC
rnacentral:rRNA from 1 species